UUACUACUACCUCCGUCACAUAUUAAGUGACCUAAAUUUGUCUAAAUAUGGACGUAUCUAUAUACUAAAAUACGUCUAGAUACAUGUAAUAUUUUCCGGCACUUAAUAUGGGACGGAGGGAGUAUUAU
rfam:Brachypodium distachyon strain Bd21 chromosome 1, whole genome shotgun sequence.